UUUCACCAGAAGUAGCUAGCCCAACCUUCGGGGAGGCGGUUACCACGGUGAGAUUUAUGACUGGGGUGAAGUCGUAACAAGGUAACCGUA
rnacentral:rRNA from 1 species